rnacentral:sRNA from 1 species
UCUACUCAAAAAUAUAUACAUUUAAAUAGUCUAAUCUUCAAGUCCGAAAAAAAAUAAACUAAAAAGAAAAGUAAAGUUCUAUGCCACUAAUUACAGAUUGCUCGUGUGUAAUUAAGCGCUAAUUAAGCAUUAAAGCUGGAUAAUUAAAAUAAAUUGGCAUAAAUUGAGAAGUUGAGAAUAGAAUACAACAAUUCCAUCAAAGGCCCCAUUCCGAUUCAUGGCUAAUCAUGGCCACAGGAUCUCCCUCUGUGUCUGUGUCUCCCCAUAAAAAACGAGCGGUAACAUUGUAACUUGCAGCUAGGCCCGCGACUCUACAUUUACACCCGAUACUCAGUCAGUAUGGUUCCUCUCCGCCAGUAGGCGCACACUGCACGGUGAAGAGUGCGUGUGUGUGAGAAAGACAGAUGAUGAUCGCUAUCGUAGCCACUGCAAUUUCAUUUGUUCCUUUUGGCUACAAUAAUGAUCCGAUAUAUGGACGACAAUGCCCCACUUAUUAGGGAAUUACACUUCGAGGGUCCUGGCUAUAUCUGGCGGUAUAUAGAUGCACAUGAACAGGGUAAUGAACACUAGGCGCAGAGCCACAGGAAAAAGGUUAUGUAGUGCUUGGAGAUAGAAAGGCCAGCCAUGGAUGGCCGGGGAGACCCAGAGUGUCAGAAAGAACGUCAGACGGAUGUUGAACAGCUGGGGGAAGGCCUUCUUGAAGAACUUUCAGUAGGAAACAUCCAGCUAAUAGAUGCAAAAUGUCCUCUUCGGGUCGAAGAAUGUGAAGUAAUGACCACAGCGACCGUGUACUUGAUAGGCAGCAAGGCCACGAUGCCGUAAAUGGUGUUUUGGGAGGUACCAUUGCAGAUGUUCAGCAGCACAAUGCUUACCUUGCUCCAUCGUGUACGCCUGUUUGGGGGACCAACUGCAUUGCCACUACGAUUACGUAUAUAGUAUAUAUUUAUGUAUAUUCUGAUAUAUGCGAAAAUGAAUAGCUAUAGUUUGGUUAAUUGCUUGCAGAAAUGUUAACACUUGUUUGGCUUUCGAUCAAAUUGCAACUACAAUGAACAAUAACAAUAAAAUGCUACACGCUACAUAAAUUUCAAUUUCGAAUACGAGUAUGUAAUAUAUUGGAUUCCAAUGCUGAAUCUACCCGAAAGUUUUGAUUAAACUAGUUUUUAAUUUGUAGUAUAUAUUGGUCCAAGGGUUUUUGAUUAUUCAUUUGAUUUGUAUGUAAUUUUUGUUUGCUUUGAUAUUUGAUUAAGUUUUAAGUUUUAUUUUCUGAAAGUUUCCAUUCUUCAUGAUCUUGAAGUACAUAUUUUUAUUCAAUUACUACUCCAGUUUCCUUCACUAUCCAAAAAAUUCUCCCUUCUAAGUUUCCUUUAUUUCUUUAAAUUUGUCUUCAAUUCCUAUAUUUCUUCUACAUUCUCAUCCAUAAAAUUCAUACGUUUCUAAUCGUUUUCUCUUCGUUAAUGAUCUAAAAAUGUAUAAUCUUCUUGUUGUAAAGUCAAUCUUUUCAAAUUUCAAAUAAAUGUUCCCUUUUCAUGUCAUAAAAUGUUCCCUAAACAGAAUCAGACUUUAGAGUUUGAUAUUUUCUGAAAACCAAAGAAUUCAAUUUAGAAACCAAAGCAUAAAAAUCUAGUAACCAAAGGACCAAAAAAUGAUAAAACCAAAGAGUAAUUAUUUUUCAAUUGCAUUUUAUAUUUUAUUAAUACACAAAACUUAAAUAAAAUAAUAGAAUUUAAACUCUACAUACCUACAAUACAAUACGUAAUAGUCAUAAGCAUAAUAAUAGAUAAUAAUAAUAAUAGUACACAAUAGUGAUAUUGUCGUUUACAGUUAUUGUACAAUGUAAGAAAUUCUAUUCCGUUUUCCGUUUUCUUUUGUUCUUCUAAACAUUUUCCUGUUUCUUUUGUUGUUUUCCAUACUGUUCUAUUGUUAAGAUUUCUUUAAGAUAUUCUCUCUGUAAAAAUGAAAUGUUGCUGCUUUCGAAUACCGGGAAUACUAUAUCGUGUGUAUAUAUAUAGUCUAGGUAAAUAUUUAGAGAGAGAGUGAAAAAAGGUAUAAUAUAAUACAAAAAAAAAAAAACAAUUGUGUGUGUGUGUCUGAGUAUAUAAGCGCUUUUCCGUGUGAUAGAUCUGAACUUUGCUUUCACUUCACUGAAAUUCGCUUUGCUUGGCUUUGUUUUCACAUCACUUAAAAGUCUAACGAUUUUUUGGUCCAAUAAUAGUUGCGGUGAUACAGGGGGUGUGGUUAUGGGAGGGGGAAGGUACUGGGUUUUCUGGGUGAUCAAAAAAAUAAAUAUGCUUUUCUUGGAAGAAACAA